GCGAGGGUGACGGAACCGGUAGACGUUGCCGACUUAAAAUCGGCUGGGGCAACACCCCGUGCGGGUUCGACUCCCGCCCCUCGCACCA
rnacentral:tRNA from 1 species